CAUGAUGCUCACAGUCGCGGGUCACAUUUGAAAUUUAGCGAAGAACCUGGCAGCCAUGUUGGUUAAGAAGUGGACUGUACGUUAUUAUCAAUUGCAGUUUUUUAGAAGCCAAGCUGCAGUCAACACACAGAAGCAAAAGGUCCUCAUGUAAUUCACAAGGCUGAUGGACCUCAGUUCAUUCUAUGAGCAUCUGGACAGCCGUCUAUUCAGUGGUUCAGGUCAAAUGAGGGGGUUA